AAAAGUUUAUUCAACAUAAAUAAAAACAUUUUACAUCUCAAGCUAAAUAACUCAAAAAUGUUAUUAAGAUGUAAAAAGUUUUUAUUCAAUAUUGCAUAUAAAUAAUCUGCUGAAGACUUAUACUAUGUAUUUAUGGAUGUAUACACAACAGAAAGCAGUAGAAACAAUGAAACUCUUGUAAAUUCAAAUUGGUCAAAUUGGAUUCAGAUAAAUAGUAAAUGGACUAGUAUGAUUCAGGCAAAUGUUAUUCAAGCAAAUGAGAAUCAGGCAAAUAAGAUUCAAAUAUCUGGAUAUCAGAUAAAUGAAAUUUGGACAAAUAUGAACAAGCCAUAUAAAGACCAACAUUUUUUUGCAUCUAUAAGUCAUAUUGGACAAAUUUCUCAAUUUCUACCAAUGUAGUCAAAACACAUUUGAAAACAUUACCUUUGAGUGUUAACAGAAUGAUUAAAACACAUAAUACACUAGUAGACUUUAUAACGAGUUCUUAUCUAGAAUGGAAAGUAUUCAUCUCAGGAAAUGCAUUUAAUCCAGUUACAGGCUAAUAUAACUCAUUAUUGAUCAUGGCAACUUAAAACAUUAUCUAUAUCAUUUCCAUUUUGAGAAUUUUGACCAUCUUGGUUAAGAAGGAAUCAGACAAUACUUGGUCUUCUCCUAUAAUAAGUACAUACAUAACAGAUUUGAGCAGAGAAAGACAGCCAUCAUGGCUAGCUAUAACUGGCUAUGCACAUUACAUAAAUUUGUAGAAAAAACAAUGUACAAUGCACUGAAUAGUUACAAAUAAAAUACAAAUAAUCAAUACUGAUUUCUCUGGGAAUCGACAGACAGUUGCAACUACAUCUAUAGAUAUUAUAGAUCAAAUCAUCAGGCAAUCUUGGCUUCCAUUGAGCCUAUUUAAACACAAGACAAAGCAAGUUAAUUCAAUAUUCAACAGUCCAUCAUUAGAUUCCAAAGCCUAUCUAAUCCCCAAGAUUCUAAUUACUAUGUCUUCCAUUCAAUUCUUUCAUUUUUCUGUGAUUUAACUAAAUCCUUUUUUAUUCUGAAUAACAUUUUUCUAUCCCACUCUUUUGCCUUUUUCAAUAUGAGUAGUUCAUUGGCUCUCAUCAUUCAAGCACUAUUGUAUUGACCAUUCCAAGAAUCUAAGGUGAUAGGAUGAAUAUGCAUUUUAUCUCCCUCAGGGAAUUCAUUAUAGACAUUAUAGGCUAUCCCUCUAUCAUGAAUGCUGGUGUUUUUCUUUCACAUUUUGUGAUAUUAGGAUGAUGAUGGUUGCCAUAAGACAAAUCCUGUUGUCAAUAUUAUGGGCCAAUGGGUAUAUUUUACAUGACACACUAUAUGUUUAACAUGACUUUCUCUGAAGUUAGUGGGAAUAUCACAAAGAGAUAUAGAACUGAUUGAUCUGUUCUCCAGUAGAGAUUAUCAGCUUUUCUUUUGUUUAGAUCAGUGACAUAGAUGGCUUGCCCAGAUUAUUUAUCAUAGGUGAAAGGGGUGCAGCAACCUGGGAAUAUUUGGUAUUGGAUUCAGCUAAGACUUUUUACUUACUCUGUCUUAAAUAAAAGUAUAGGAGCAAUAUUUAGCUAUUUAGGGAUUUUAUUUAUUCAUGUUAGUUUACGGAGACUUUAGUAUAAGAUUAGCUUUAAGUAAUAGUUAUCAUUGCUCCCCUACUUACAUGUUUAAUUUGUUCCAAAAAUUGUAAGUUUAAAAUUGUACAAGUCCAACAAUGCUUAGAUUUUAUAUAUACAAAUGGAUAUAUUGAUAAAUGAGAUGC
rnacentral:lncRNA from 1 species